rnacentral:rRNA from 1 species
AACGUACGCUGGCGGCAGGCCUAACACAUGCAAGUCGAGCGCGCCCUUCGGGGUGAGCGGCGGACGGGUGAGUAACGCGUGGGAACGUGCCCUUUUCUACGGAAUAGCCUCGGGAAACUGAGAGUAAUACCGUAUACGCCCUUUGGGGGAAAGAUUUAUCGGAAAAGGAUCGGCCCGCGUUGGAUUAGGUAGUUGGUGGGGUAAUGGCCUACCAAGCCGACGAUCCAUAGCUGGUUUGAGAGGAUGAUCAGCCACACUGGGACUGAGACACGGCCCAGACUCCUACGGGAGGCAGCAGUGGGGAAUCUUAGACAAUGGGGGCAACCCUGAUCUAGCCAUGCCGCGUGAGUGAUGAAGGCCUUAGGGUUGUAAAGCUCUUUCAGCUGGGAAGAUAAUGACGGUACCAGCAGAAGAAGCCCCGGCUAACUCCGUG